rnacentral:rRNA from 1 species
UACGUAGGGUGCGAGCGUUAAUCGGAAUUACUGGGCGUAAAGCGUGCGCAGGCGGUUCGUUGUGUCGGCGGUGAAAGCCCCGGGCUCAACCUGGGAAUGGCCGUUGAAACUGGCGAACUGGAGUGUGGCAGAGGGGGGUGGAAUUCCGCGUGUAGCAGUGAAAUGCGUAGAGAUGCGGAGGAACACCGAUGGCGAAGGCGGGUCUCUGGGCCGAUACUGACGCUGAGGAGCGAAAGCGUGGGGAGCGAACAGG